rnacentral:rRNA from 1 species
GAUGAACGCUGGCGGCGUGCCUAAUACAUGCAAGUCGAGCGAACGGACGAGAAGCUUGCUUCUCUGAUGUUAGCGGCGGACGGGUGAGUAACACGUGGAUAACCUACCUAUAAGACUGGGAUAACUUCGGGAAACCGGAGCUAAUACCGGAUAAUAUUUUGAACCGCAUGGUUCAAAAGUGAAAGACGCUCUUGCUGCCACUUAUAGAUGGAUCCGCUCUGCAUUAGCUAGUUGGUAAGGUAACGGCUUACCAAGGCAACGAUGCAUAGCCGACCUGAGAGGGUGAUCGGCCACACUGGAACUGAGACACGGUCCAGACUCCUACGGGAGGCAGCAGUAGGGAAUCUUCGGCAAUGGGCGAAAGCCUGACGGAGCAACGCCGCGUGAGUGAUGAAGGUCUUCGGUUCGUAAAACUCUGUUAUUAGGGAAGAACAUAUGUGUAAGUAACUGUGCACAUAUUGACGGUACCUAAUCAGAAAGCCACGGCUAACUACGUG